GUGCUGCAAGGCGAACCGGGGGAACUGAAACAUCUAAGUACCCCGAGGAAAAGAAAUCAACCGAGAUUCCCCCAGUAGCGGCGAGCGAACGGGGAGCAGCCCAGAGCCUGAAUCAGUUUGUGUGUUAGUGGAAGCGUCUGGAAAGUCGCAGGGUACAGGGUGAUACUCCCGUACACAAAAACACACAUGCUGUGAGCUCGAUGAGUAAGGCGGGACACGUGGUAUCCUGUCUG
rnacentral:rRNA from 1 species